rnacentral:misc_RNA from 1 species
UCUCCGUUGGUGAACCAGCGGAGGGAUCAUUACAGGACUCGCAAGACUCCUUCACCCUGUGAACCUCACUACAAGCACGUUGCUUCGGCGGGUGUCCCGGCGGGGGUUUUCCCUCGCCGGGGCGCACAGCCCGCCGGCAGCCUACUAUACUCUGUCUCUUUGCGUUGGCAUCUCGAGAAAAAACAAACAAGUUAAAACUUUCAACAACGGAUCUCUUGGUUCUG